GUGGCAGUGCUUGUGUGUCGGGGCUCUGAGGCUCCGGCCUGACCUCUCCUCGGGGUCGACGGGAAGGUCUCCGGAUGCCAGGACUCGCAAAGGGCCGACCAGAAUGAGGAAAUCCCAGGCGGAGUCCGGGGGAGGCAGCACGGCAUCCCAGCCUCAGGGCUGCCCGGACGGUGUUGGUUGGGGUAAGAUUGGGGAAGAUGCCAGGUGAUAGAAUCCACCCUGCCUCUGACAGCAUCCAAUCUGGAGCAAAGGCUUCUUUCAACCUUCCCCCAAGCUCCCAAUACAAGCCCAAAUUCUGGAACAAGUCCUUUCCAACACCUCCUUCAGAGAAGCUCCCUGGCUCCAGGCAGUGCUUGCUCCCCUCACUGCAGCAGGAAGCCUAACUUGCGAACUGCAGGUGUGCUCCAGGUGGUCACUGGAUGCAAGAAAUGGUGCGAGAACUUUGGAUGUGGAACGUGGAGGAGGAGGAACACGAAGUGGGGAUCUGCACUUGGGGUGGUCAGCACUGCGGAUGCCCAGCAAAGUCACUGCCUGGUCCACAUCCCGGAGGGGUCUCUGCGCCUCAGUCGGCAUCGCAGCUGAUGGUGAAACUUUUGGUGUGGCAGAAGAGUGUCCACAAACUUCGGAAGUUGCUAGAGAAAACUGAAAACUACUAGUUUUGAAAGCCUCACUUCUGCCAAUGGAAGCACAUUCCAGCAUGUCGCCAACGCAAUCCACUUUCCACCACUUUCACAAAAAACGUUACUGCACAAUUAUACUAUCCUACCCUUA
rnacentral:lncRNA from 1 species